UAAAAAAAUAUCGCGGCUGACUAUAGUAUUUAAUAUUAUCUAUAAUAACAUAUUAGAUCCAUUUCCAGCACAUCUCGUCAUCGCAUGCGGCCGUCGUUGGUCUGAUAUCCGCGAUCGAGUCGAUUUUUUUUUCGCAACAAAAACAUAAUAUUUUCACUCUCCGGCACCACACGCGCACGUUAGUGCCACAACUUGGAUCCGUACACCUUUGAGUCGUCAUCGUCGUCGUCGUCCGCACACACGGCGUUGCACGCAACAGGCUUUUGAUCUGCCACUGCCUUAUACGCCAACGGCACGCAAACGGCGUACACGCGUGUACAUUUAACACCGUUCGUCUGACUACCGGAUAACCGCAGAAAAGGAAAUAACUUAAGUGGCGGAAUGCAGAAUGUUUUAAGGAGGAUAGCGGCCACAUUGGUUAUUUUAUGUCCAGUAAUUGUCUUUUCAAUACCGGAAUCUGCUAUUCAAGCAUCAUCAAUCAAAUCAAGUCAAUCUGAACAAGAUAACUCGGACUAUACGAGAUCUUUUGACGAAGAUCAAGAGGAAAAACGGGCAUGGCGAGAUUUGCAGACGGCUGGUUGGGGCAAACGUGGUUGGCAAAACUUAAAAACCACGUGGGGCAAACGGGCACAAGAUUGGCAGAAUUUACAUUCAUCGUGGGGCAAGAGGCAAGGCUGGCAAAAAUUACACGGUGGAUGGGGAAAACGUGGAUGGAAAGAUAUGCAGUCCGGAGGCUGGGGAAAGAGGUUUAAGGAUCAGCCUAGAAGUGAUCAAUUAUCUCAGUUUGACGAAUAUUUAAACAAAUACGAAGACGAAAAUCCUAAUGAAGCAGAAAAACGGUCAUGGGACAAUUUCCAAGGAUCUUGGGGUAAGAGAGCAGCUGAUUGGACAAGCUUUAGAGGUAAGCCGGUUCGUGGGGAAAAAGAAAUCCCGUGGACUAUAUGAACGAGUAUUCAGGAUAUGGAGACAGCGAUAAUUACAAAGCUUAUAUUUUUCCGUCAGGUUACAAUAGUUAUUUACCCAACUUCCAAGCGGAAUACGAAAAAUGAGACAUAAAUUCUCAAUUUUUGAAAGUACUACCACAAAAAAAUAUUAACUAUUAGCCCUAAAUUUACAGACUAUAUACUAUUACAUCAGAUUGUGAAAUAAAAUUAAUAUAUUAUGUACCCAUGCCUCCGUAAUAAUACUAUUACAUUCAAGUAAUCAAUUAAAAAU